CUUUACUUUACUUUUUUUUAUAUUUUGAAAUUUUAAACAAGUUUGUUUAAUAGAAUAAGAAUUAAUUUUUAAUAUGCUUUGGUUGCUUCUAAUAUUGUGAAGGAUUGCUUUUAAGUAAAAGUUUUUUUGCACCUUUUUCGCCAAGUAAUCUUUUAUGUACAAUAUAGCUGCAGAAGAAAAACGGUAAUUUGCAUAAAUAAUUAAUAUUUUUAUAAUGGAGAUAAAUUUUGCAUGAUGAAAAGGGCAUUUAUCUAAUGGAGAUAAUUUAUGUAUUGUGGAGAUAACUUUUAUAUUAUGGAGAUAAUUCGUUAAUUUUACGAAUUGGAGACCUCUCUUAGCACACGUUUAAAGGAGCAUGCCUGUUAUUAUUUUUUACGUGGGCACAGAAAAAUGGUGGACAUAAGAGAUACGUGGACAUGAAGAAAUGUCCAUUAAGUGCUAAAAACAAUCCAAACUUGACAUUUUUAGCUUUUGCGCGUCAAUUUUUUUAAAAAAUUAUUUCAAUCGAUAAGGUGACAUAAGUUGUUAUAAAAAUGUUAUGCUUAUUUUGCGAUUUCCAGUUAAGGAGUUAUUCUAAAGCUUACCUCCCGCGAAGAAGUUAAUUUUAUAUAAAGGAGUUUGAAAACUUGUCUCGGAAUUUGCAUAUUGUUGUAAAAAUUUCUUUAUUAUUUCUUAAGAUUUUAGACUUAGCUACAUAUUCCGCUAAUUAUGCAUGAUGACAUUAUGAAGCAGCUUAAGUUUAGCGUUUCGAACAUUUUACACAAAUCUAAGCAUUUUUACCAUUCUCAACCCCAAAAACAAAAUUAACCUGGAAGAACAAAGCAAUGUUGUUUAUAAAAUCCCGUGUAAAGAGUGUGAUGGCGAAACAAAAAGAAAACUGAAGCAGCGAUUUCAAGAACAUAAUACACACAUCGAGAAACGAGAUGUAAAUAAGAAAAAAAAUGGCGGACCACAGCUGGGGCAGAAUUCAUCAGUUUAGCUGGGAUGAGAAGAAAAUCAUUGACAUAAUCUACAACAACGACCGGAAAAAUAAAAGAAACCAUUAAUAGUGUAGAUCGUGACAAAAACAUAAACAGCAUCUCGUAUCAAAUUUUCCUUGUAUCAACGUCCUGAGAUUUUUGUUACUAGCCCUACAGAAGAUGUAGUUAUUUCAAUCCAGGUAUGAACAAUAUUAAUUACCGUAAUUAACAGCUUGUAUCUGAUUGGUUAAUUCUUAUGAAUAUCGAUACUUUGUAAUUAUAUAAGUAGAUGCUCAACAUCAUUUUUACUUUGCUCGAUGAUGGAAAAAGGACCUCCCGAAAUGCCGCCUACUCAUUUAUCAUAUUUAAGAAAUGAUAAAGCUUUUUAACAAUAAUAUGAAUACCGAAAUAAUGUCUUCAAAUAACUUUAAAAUUUUAUAAUAUUUUUUCCACCCGGUCGUCUUUUAUUAGACUUAUGUGGUUAAAUAUUAUAUCCAAAACUUACAUUGAAAGUCUGUAACAAAUCUGGUACUUUAGCUACCCCACUGCACAUAAAAAUACACAAACACACUAAAAUAAUGUUAAGACCUUCGCACUAAUUCCAUCAAAAAAUAGCGUGUUCUCACUUACCAUUCAAGUUUCACUUAUUCGUAGAAAACUUUCGUAUUUAAAAAAAUGGUUUAAAAAAUUAAUUAAUUUUUCAGCAAAUGCAAACAAGCGAAGGACAAAGAUUGAAUAAGUGGAAGAGACAAACUGAAUGAGCUAUUCUUUUCUUCAAUUCGAAAUAACAAUCUCCCAAUUAACCAACUAUUCAAACACUUAUUUCGUUAUACUUUUUGCUACAUAUGACAUUGUAAACCUGUGUUUUAAAUUUUCAUCAAGGUCAAAUUAUAUUUGAGAAACACUGUUUUCUGAUUGGCUGUUUUUUAGAACAUUUUAAGCUGCCAACAGAUACAUUAAAUAACACAUCGACACACCUACCAUAGAAACGUACAAUCGUCGCUGAUAGAAAAUCUCAUAUUCUACAAUCCACGUCUUUAUCUCAAAAAGUGUUCUUUAAUAGGUGAGAACUUGGGGGAAAAAGGUGAGAAACACCGGCAACACACUUUCAAAUUUAUACUCACUCUAAUACGCAAGGCUGAACAACAACAAAAACAACGACGAAAACGACGACGACGAAGACGGCGACGAAAGUUAUAACACAAGAACAAAAUUGAAAGUCUCACUAAAAUAUCAUCUCUAUCUUCACCAAAAUAUCUGCAAGCUUAGUAGCUUUUUAACUUUUUUGCCAAUUAUAUCGUUGCUAUGGAAAUGUAUUCAUAAAUGGCAGGUUAGACGCACAGGUGCAAGUUAUCGUUCUUAAAGAAAACAUGAUAUACAGAGCAGCUGAGAAAAAAAAAUCUAACUUGCUCGCUACUUUGUGAUCGAAUCCUCACGACAUUGUUGCAACAUUGUGCGAUACUGCAAUUUUGAAUUUGUUUUUUACCCAAUAAUAAUAUUAUUAUAUAUUAUUAUACUCCUCUUCCUUUCUAAAAUUAUCCAAAAUUCCAAUCCAUUUUAUAACCACGGACAUAUUUUAUAACUGACGACUAAAAUCACCAAAUGUCAGUAAACACCUUAAAAAAUUCUUUUUUGCUAUGGAAUAAUCACACUUGUAAAAAAACACCCAAUCUUGACCCCAGGGCAUUUUUCUUUUUCUUUAUAUCGGUAUAAAAAAUAGACAAACCGUCCUUGGAUCGAGGUUGAAAAACGUCAAUCUCUUUUAAUUGUUGAACCAUUUACUGAUUUAACAGAUUUUUUAACGAGAAACUGUUAACUGUUCGCGAAUAUUUUUUGCGUAAAAUAAAUUUUACCCCAAUGUAACAGUUACUCGACAUUACAUUAUUUAAUCUUUCCCAUAUUAUAUGGGCUGGUGAAACAUUAAUCAACUGCCAAGAAUUUUCUAAUUGUAUGAUGGCAUAAAAGAAUUUAAAACCAGCUAGAAUCACGUGUUUAAUUUUUUUAACCUACGCGUGGAGGAACACACGGUCCUAAAUAAACAAUUUUAUUUUUUAAUGUUUUUGCGUAAAUUUUUAGGCGAAAUAUCUCCACGUGACUUUCAUAUACGACGAAAACUCCUUCUUCAGUGUUCUAAUUUUAUAUUUUUAAAAGUUUUCAAAUAAAGCCAACCAUUACACAUUAAAAAGAAGCUAUUAGUCACAAACCAUAAGAUUUUACUCAAUAGUUAUGGACUCAAGUUUUUUUUAUGUUAAUGUAUAUAAAAAAAAUGCUUACAUUGGAAUCUAUAAAAUUCAAUCAAGUUGGCCUGCAAAAAUCGUCUGCUUUUUUCUACUGAAGGUACUACAAUAUUUACUUUAAACAAACACAAAAAAUCGCCAUUCUCAGAUACAAAACAUGGACCUUUACCUCAUGCACAUUGUGUUCUUAAGCUUGAAGUAAAAAAAAACUUUCCCGUAUUACCCUUAUUACAGAUAUAUUCUACCAUUUGUUUCUUGAAACAAGCUUAACCGACUUUCACUAAGUGUUUAUAAUUCAGUUAUCUUUAGAGAGAAGUGUGUUUUAAUAAUUAAUGUGUACAUAUUUUACAAUUCUUGAUAUCUUUUGUUUUGUUUAUAUUUAAUUAAAAUGUGGAUGAUAAAUUAUUAAAAACACUCUCCUUUUUAUCAUUUUUUUCCUUACAACGCAGCGUUAAAUUUACUGUUGUACAUAUAGAAUCUAUUUAGCACCAAGUCAAUACAGAGUGUUUCAAAAACAAUUUUUUUUGCCGUAGCGUUACUAAUGGCAACGUUAGGUUGCUAUAAGCAAUCUCCAUAAGACGCAUAAAAAGUGACAGCUAAAUAAAAAAAUUACAAGAAAUUCCAUACUCCCCUAAUUUAAAGAAGAAUCUGUCUGACUGGAAGAAUAAAGGCAUGGUGUAAAUUUCCAGACAUGACAAGGGUCACAACGAAUGUCAACACCUUGAAUAAAUAACGGAUCGUUUUUGAGAAAGAAAUGGUGAUAUGGUAUAGAUGACAUGAAUAAAGACCAGUUUAGUUAGAAUUUUAAUAUUAUAAAAAUGUAUGGAGUAAAAUUGCUUUUAAUACAAUUUAUAGAUUUUUCAGAAACACAAGAUCCAAAAGACAUUGGGAUUAAUUACACUCAGCUCUUUUAGGCCUGUGUGUAUUAGCGGACAAAUCGAAUUUUGGAACGAAAAGUUUACUAAAUCGUGUUUUACAUGAAACUCUUGAUUUAAACCGCAGAAAUAACACAAUCAGCGAAAAUAAAAGUUAAUAUUCGUCUUUCUUUACUUAGAUACGCACCAAUAGGCUCUUGUGUAUAGUUGUGUAUAUAUAUACUGCAUUUAACUAUGCGUGUGUUUAACUAUUCGCAUAGCUAAAUGCAGUUAGCUAACUAUUUACUCUUUAUGAUAUCUAGCUACUGUCAUUUUAUUAUGGCUCACGGUGCUAAAAAAGCAGCUGUAAAAAAAAUUACAGUCAAUACUCAAAAUGUAGCUAGCGAAAGAUUUUGCAGCAUCCUAUCUAAGGUAAUUGAAAAUUACCAGUCAUGGUGGAUUGAUAGAUUUUCUUUUUUAGCAUCUAACCAUUGUAAUUAGUUUCAUUGUAUUAUAAAGUUUUAUUUACCUUUAGCGCAAGAAAAACUAUUCUCAAACUAAUGAUUCACACUUUGAAUCAGGUAUUGAACCCACGACCUUUCGCACUGGAGGUGACCAGCGUUGAGAAUGUUUUUGUGUCAUGUUUCUUAUUGAAAAGUUACCUUAGUUAGUUUAUGGUAGCUGUGUAAACAUAAAGUCACAACCUCGUUCCCAGGGUCAUGUGGCCCCUGAUCCGUUAUUACGGAUUGGCCGCUCCAUAAACUUCAUUAACAAGGCAAAAUGCCCUGGGAACGAGGUUGAUAAAGUCGCUAUUUAAUGUUAGAUAACUCCAAGGUUAAGUGUUGAAACCAAAUUGGGUUUUCUAUUCCAACUAUAUUCUUCUUUUUUUAGAAAAUAUUAAUCCGAAUAAA